UACGUAGGUGGCAAGCGUUGUCCGGAUUUACUGGGCGUAAAGAGCGCGCAGGCGGUCGGAUAAGUCGAAUGUGAAAGCCCCCGGCUCAACUGGGGAGGGUCAUUCGAUACUGUUCGACUCGAAGGCAGGAGAGGGAAGUGGAAUUCCCGGUGUAGUGGUGAAAUGCGCAGAUAUCAGGAGGAACACCAAUGGCGAAGGCAGCUCGCUGGAACGGUACUGACGCUGAGGCGCGAAAGCGUGGGGAGCGAACAGG
rnacentral:rRNA from 1 species